rnacentral:misc_RNA from 1 species
AAGUCGUAACAAGGUCUCCGUAGGUGAACCUGCGGAGGGAUCAUUAACACUGGGGACACGCACCAGCAAUGGUGUCGUGAAACCAUCAACUACACCCAUACGAGCGUGAACUACUAUGACCCCCUUUUUCUCAACCAUCGGUGCUGCUGACACCAGCGGCUGCUUCGCGGCGGCUGCUGUUGUUGGCUGACUGCUGUUGGUUGCUUUUUUUGUUAUUUUGCAACACCCUUUCCAAUUAUCACAAGUGUAACUGUGAACACGUGUGUUCGCUUUUUGCGAGUCACACUGUGAACUAUUACGAACUAAACUAUUGAGUACAACUCUUAGCAACGGAUAUCUUGGUUCUC